GACCUCUCACAUUUCUGUUCUUGCAGUACAUGAGACAGCGUCCUGUGGGAUUGCACGAAGAGGGCUGUUGAGCUGGUGGGAGCAGAGUGAGAGCCCCAAGCUGCUGCCAUGCAACCUGGCUCUCAUCUCAAACAGGGUGAGACUUGGCACAGCUGUAUGUGAGUGCAGGGAAAGGCUUGCAGCCCAUUAGAGGACUGCAUAAGAGCUGAGGAUGUGACAGAGCUGCAGAUCUGCCUGGAAGAUUCCCAUAGCAGGUGUAAGCAAGGGCCAGAGCUGAAAUAGUGGGAGCAGCAGUACCUAGGUAGGGUGGGAGAGCUGCAGUGGAGGUGCCAGCCCAGGAGGAGGAUGGGCUGCUUGGAGUUCCACGCAGAAGCAUGGCACAUGAGAGGGAAGGAAAGAUGAGAUGUUCAAAAGGGGUCUUGGCAGAGCCACAGGAGAAGACCCAGCAUGGUUCAGGAGAGGACACACACUGCCCACCGGGAAAGGCUUGUGGGAGGAGGAAGGAAUAAAUGACACCAAAUUCUGUAAUGGAAAGAAAAAAAAAAAUAGUGUGUAUCGGAAACUGCUGCUGAGUGACUCACGCUGCCGGACAAACGGAACCUCACUCAUCACUCCAUCUUCAUCCUCCUCCUCUGCUGAGGUUGUCAUCAUCCUAUGAUGCCUCUUUCAGUACAACUACUUCACUUCCACAUCUUCCCAUUAUGAAGCUCUGCCCUCCAUCCAGCACUGUAUGCUCUCUACAACCCAGCUUUCCUCAUCACCAGCUCAGGUUUGUGCAUCAUGGUGUCUGCAGAACUGCAAGAGCCCCCAGGAUGCUGGAAAGGAGCAAUGCCAAAAGCGGGGAGUGGCCUGCAGCAGCAACUUGGGGCAGCCACAAGCCAUCUGGGAACACAGGACAAGGGCAGUGGUUUUCUUUGCCCAAUUGACACCCUGCAGGGAUAAUAUACAGAAAACCUGCCCUUUCAACAAGAGAUAUCCUUUCCUUUUGUUGGCAUGCAGCUACCAUGGAGCACCUUUCCUCACCCACAGCCCUUCCCUGGGCUCAUGAAGCCCCAUCUCCGUUCUGUUCCUGGCACAGCUGGGGCAACAGCGAGCCCUGCUCCUGCACCCCAGUGCCUGCAGGCCAAGGAUGAGCCCCAGCUGCCUUCCCCAGCUGAGCCUGUAAGCAAUUGCUGAACAGUAAAUGACUUUCAGCUGGACUGUGUUAACCAUGGGUGGUGCUGCCCUGAGAGAUGGCUGCAGGGAGCAGUGGCUCUAUUUAAGGCAGUAUUUCCCCCCCCCCCCAAUCCCUUUUGGGCUGUAAGUGAGGAUGGGACACUUGUGUUGAGGUGGUCUUCAGGAGUGUUGUGCCUGUGCUGGUGGCCCUGGAAAAGCCUUCCUGACUGCUGUUGAAAUGUCAGAUGGUAAAAACAACCAAGAGUUCCAGAUGGGGCAAUUGGAAGAGAAACAUGCUGAAGAUGAUAAUAAGAAAGUUCUGGAUUCUCUCAAGUGGGAGUCCCAUGUCCUCACCUGUGACUUCCAAAUGCAGUCACUGUUCAAGUCUUGUGCAAAGCAGCAUGCCAUGAGGAAGUUCUUCAUUAUCAGGCGUUCCCUCAUUUGACCAGGAGUGUUUGACCAAACCAUAGAGGGUCGGUGUCAUGAGGAGCUCAGAGGAAAUGUCACAGAGCUCUUUGCUGCUGAGUGGGAGGUCAUGAAGAGUUUGGAGUCUGGCUGUGGUGCUGAUACAUAUGAUGGGUUGAUGGAAAGAAGACAAGCCUGCGAGCGAUGCAAUGUGGUGGUGCAUUUGAGGACUGACAGAAAUAACGAGAAGGAGCAAGUUGUGCUGAUCGUGGCCUCCUACCUACUGGUCUGCAAAUGGGGCUUCACCAUGCUGAGCUGCUUCUGAGCACUGCAAAUCCACUGAUUCUGACCACCGUUGACUGUGUUAGCCGCUUUGUUAUCCCAGGAACAUGUCUGGAGAACAUGGCUGUCUGCUGAACUCCCCAUAUCUACAGAUGGAAGAGCUAUUGAGUGGUUAUAGCUGAAAGCCUUGCCUAUCUAAGGAAAUGUCAGCAACAUAUUGAAGUUCACCCAUCAGUUCAAAAAAGAGGUGACAGCACAGUGAUUGAUGGUUCAUGGAAUGAUCAAGAUUUUUAUCGAUUGCUUUCAGCUGUACAUAAAGGCUGCCCUGGAAUUUUAGGAGAAGGAACAAGGCCUACAGGUCCCCCGGAAUUGUGUGAAGGAAGGACUACUGCUCCAUUGGAACCUGUGGUCUAUGUAUGUCCCCAGCAAGACCUUCACAGAACAUCAGGCAAGGGAUUGUACUGGAAGUUUCAGCAGUGUCUGCCAGGCACAACUGCUCUGGGAAAAGGCCAUCCAGCUGUGGUACCCACAGUUAAAGAAGGGUGUUGAAAAAUUGGAGAUAUUUCAGAGAAGAGCCACAAGAAUGACCAAAAGAUUGGAAAACAUGCCUUAGCAGUGGAGUCCAUCUGCUUAGCUUACCAAGCAGCAAGAAAAGUUUUGAGUACUGCUUCCAAGCCAGUUUUAUAAGGAACGUAAGUUCAAAAACCGAAGUCCCUUUAGGGACUAGUAUAACAAGAACUGGAAGUCAAAGGUUGGAUAAGUUCAUAUUAUAUGCAAGCUUCAACUUUUGACAGUGGACACCACUCUUGGAGCAAAAGUCAGGGUUAUGAUUUGUUCUGUCAUUGUCAAGCAGAGAUUGGAUGCUUUUUCCACCUGAUUUGUGAAGCUAUUCAUUCAGAGCAACCUUGAUGCUGGCAUCCUUUCAGAAGUCAGACCUAGCUAAGAAUAGCUGUUGUCUCUAACUUCAUUAAUUUAUAAAUCAGACAUCUCUCUCUAAUUGUUCCUAAUCUAAAUAAGCAAAAUUUUCAGAACAACUUCUUUCUAGUCCGGAUCCUAAACUCUGCUCUCCAGUUUAACCACAGGAUUGGAUAGGAAAAGCAAGAAUUUGUUGGAUGUAUUUGUUUGUGAGGUUUCGGUCACAUGAGAAGCUUAGAGAUUAGAUUAGCAAAGCCUGCUCAUACAGUUCUCACUAUGGGUCAUUCUGUGCAUUGAUGUGUGGCUUUGGCCAUUAUCCUACCACCUUCUUUAAGAAGAGGUUUUCUCCUGGGCAGCACAAAAACACAUUAGCAAUAGUAAGGAUGUCUGCCCUUCUGGUCCACACAAUCUGCGUGCUCUUCAAGAAGGAAGUCUUCUUGAAAUAUUCUCCAGCCCUUAAAAUAGAAGAUGGUAUGCCAUGUCUCAAGAUUUGCUGAAUUUAGGAUCGAAUCCAAAUGUUCUUUCAAUGUGAUCAAACCUCAAGUUUGGAGGAUGUCUGAGCCUCAAAUUUAGUUUGUUUCCAUUUUAGAAACACUGCUUUCUGGUCUGCUUGUCUAGGACCACUUAAAAGUCUUCAAAUCAAAGCAGAUCUGUGGCUUUCUGUGCUUCCCUGCUGGGCUGCUUUGAUUUCUGAGCUUUUUCUGAGUUUACCAAAGAGAGGUCACUUUGCCUCCUUCUACAGUUAAGGUGUUGUCACUAGGAUGACAUGAAGUUUGGCAAUUCUGUUGACACUUUAGCCUUAAAUAUUUUAUUUCAAGGCUUUUUGCUUUCUCCAGAAGCUUCUUUGUAAGUCUCAGGUUCUGUUAUGAUUGGAUUUGAUUUUGUAUUCUUAGUUUUCCCCACUUCUGUCUCAUUUUUCUCUUUUAAUUCCAAAUAUAUCAUCAUUUUCUCUGGUUGUGUAGGGAAGCAAUACACCCCUGUUCAAGGCAGCACACAACUUUUCAGCACAGAGGUAGUGCCUGUGGCAGCAUUGGGAAGAAUCCAUGAGACAGCAGUGUCAAGCUCUCUGCACUGGCUUUCUGGCAAGGGUUCUCUCCCUGAGCAUGUUUUUUCAUGGGAUUUUCAACAGUAAUGCUUGUAAGUAUUGGUCAGCUGUAAAUCCUCCAUAUUAUCUUCAUAGAAAGUAGUCCAGAACUCCAGAUUGAUGAUGAUGCUGUCCAGGACACACAUCAGCACUUAAGAGGAGCGCAGCUGUGAACUUGGUGUGUGCAGUUUCUGCCCUUGUGCUAAGUGCUCCAGCCCAUUCAUGCCACCACUGUAACAACAGAGUAUUUACUCUUGGAAAAUAUUUGCAAAUAAAUUUGCAAGAGUAUUUACUCUUGCAAAAACUGGGCUGUACACCAAAUUAUUUGCAUUGUCUUCAGUGCCCAUGUUGUUUUGAAAUCUUUUAUGUCAAACUCCAGGAGCUUUGCAAUGCAGGAGGGAAGUGUUUGUUACCAACAUGUUCCCUUCUUCAUCUGAAGGUGUUUACUAUCAUGACUAAACUUACCUGAAUGUUUUAGUUAUUGACAGUUUGUAGACACUGAAGAUAGACUGUGUAAUUAUUACAUGUAAUAGAUGUGUAGAUCAAUUUUACAAAUAUCGUUCCUGGUAUCUUUUAACACAUCUGUUCCUUAAAGAAGUGCUUUAUUGGAAAUUUGGUUUGGAUCAGCUGGAGACCUCUGGAACUACUCGGGUAUAAAACUAGAAAUACAUUUUCCCUUCUGCAUUAUGCUGUCAAUAUUGGGUCUUGUUAGCAUAGGAAGGGGUUGUUGUUGAAAUGAACUUCAUGAGGAUCCAAUCAAAGCAAAAAAUAAUACUGAAAUAUAUCAUACUAAAUCCUGCAAGGUAAGCGUUCUGUCAGGAGGUAAUCUGGAGCAAUAUUUCACCUGGAACAAAAAAAAGAAUGAGGUGGGGAAGAAUCCAAAAACAAGUUUCUGUUUUCUGGAUGUUGUAGUAUGUUUGUUUGUUUGUUUUCAGUUGUUAAAUAAAUGUAUCAUCAGGUUGAAGAAGUCCCUGUUUUAUAGGGAAAAAAAAAAAAAAAAAAAGAAUGAAUGUUUGUUUUCUGGGAUAUGUCUUUCAGUAUGCCUAUAUUCUCCCUCAAAAGAGGCCCCACGUGGUAAAUUUGCCCUCUUCAGCCAAGCUCACUUUGCCAGUAAGCCUUUCAGCACCAAGCUGUACUGCUUGUGUUCAGACAGCAAAGGGUGAAUCACUGUCUUAAUUAAGGUCAGUAUAUUACAUCGUUGCUAUUCUUCCAGCUAUUCUAGGCUGAUGAAUAAAGAGUGGAAAAUGGGGCACAGACUUUUUUUCCAUUGAACUUUGGUGACUGUCCAGUUUACAGGUAGGUCCUAAACAUUCUCACUGAUAGUGUGCUUUGAUUGAAAUUCACAGUUCCAUCCAAGGUUUUCCUCAAAAGACUGAAUAAGUUGAAUGCAGAAGACAAAGUCAGUUGGAACACCCCAUUUGCUCAGCUCAUCAUUGGGAAUAAAGAGGAAGGUGGGCCAUUGGUUACAAUGGAAGUGUUCUUUUUUUUAGCAUAGAUCUUUGUAGUUUUGGUGUCCCUUAAUGGUUUUGUUUAAGUCUAAAAUACAUUGGUGGAAAUAAAUCAUACCAAUUUCUCCAACAGUAGCUGGAACUGUAGUUGAAAGCUGGUGCUGGGAGCUGAAGAGGAAAAAAUGGGCAUGGAAGAGAAAUGGAAGUGGGUUCUACAUAACUACAGCGUUUUCUCCCAUUAAUUUCUAUGUGUUUCAUUGCAGGCCUCAAGGCAAAGAAUUUUCUAUUUGGGCUGCAGGAGGGUGUGUUGAAGUGUUGGAAGAGGCAGGAUGAGAGAGCUGCUAUGUUGCUUAGGUAGUUGUUCUUAGAAAAGCAUCGUUGGCAAACCAGCACAAUAAUUUUGCAAAAGAGAAAAAGCAACUUGCCCAGGAAACAGAAUUUUGCUGACAAGGUGUUAAGAAAAGAAAUAUCUGCUUUUAUUUAACUCUGUUCUCUAGAGAGAUUUAGCAUUUUGCUAUGUAGCUCUUUCAUACCAAGCUAACUUUUAAAGUAUAGACAGUUUCUCAGCCAACGUACUUUUUAAAGGUGCAAUACUGCUCCAUUUUCAGAAGGUGUUUGAAUCUUGUUUGACAUAUAUUAAAUCUGUUAUUGUUUCUGUCUUACAAUGAGGAUCUGGACUUCAAGGUCUGUAAAAAUAGAGAUGACAUGGUUGAAGCUUACAGGAGUCAGCAACGGACAGUCAUUAAUGAUAGGUCAUUUACCCAAAGUAUCAGAAGAGAUAUCUCACAUGGAUUCAUUUAUACCUCUAGUAGAUUGAUCUCCACGCUCAUCUCUCCAUGCCCAAGGCAUGGCCAGUCAGCAGCUCCAAGGAGGGUAUGCUGUUCAUGCUGGUGCUCCAACUGGAUCAUUGGCAACAGUUUUUAAGACACAUGAUGACAGUGCUAAAAUAGUGUUACAAUGCUAUUAUGAAAAGUCUUCUCCACAGUGGAUCUGGUUGCAAAGGAGUGCUUGGAUUCAGUUUGUUGGUGUGGCUUUUCAGUAAUUAUGGAAGAAGAGGGAAGGGAAGAGGGAGAAUAGAGGUGAGGCUUUGGCCAUCUCUUCAGGAUGGUCUGUUGCCAUUUGGAGACUGUCCUACGGAUGUCUCUCUCUAAAAACCAGGAGAGGGGGGGAAAGCAUUUUUGUAUUCAGGCUCCUAUCAACAUAGGAGCACUUGUAGUUAUCCCCCAUCAAGACACAUUAAGUAAGGAUGCCACACAAGAUUAUGAAAGUGCUGUAUUUUAUGACCUCAAUGCAAAACCUCUAUUAGUUUCAACCUGUUUCUGGUAACGUGUCUAAUACUAAAUUAUCUCUUUUAUGUGGUUUGUGUAUUACAUGCUAACCUCAGAUUGCUUUCAUGUGUUCCACUUUGAGGAGUUCAAGAGUUUUGCAGGAAGAGCAGUAAAAUGUGUUUUUGACAAUCUCUUUAGUUUCUAGUCCAAGCUGAGUUUCUAAUGACAGUUUGAGCAGCAAUGAUUACUUGGAACAGCAGGCGUAAGCAGCUUGUGUGCUGCUGACAUGUGUGAGUGCAUGUGCAUAGGAGGCGACUACUAGGGAAAACCUAUUUGGGAAGAGCUGGUACAGCUCUGGUCAAAGGCUGGAACAGCACAAUGAUGAGCAGAUCAGGAUGGACUACGAAACAGCAUUACAGAGGCCUUGUUAUCUCUGGUUUUUGAGAUAGUGUCAGUACCAGCAUGAUAGUGGUCAUGAAGACUGUGCUUUCCACAGUGCCAUGUGCAUUUCCUAAUCUCUUUCAUUUAAAACUGGGUCUUUUACACCACCUGAACUUACAGUAGUCUUCCAUACGCUACGUGCGUGAAGGAUGAAGUGAGCAGUUACAAGGGGCUGGAUUAACACACAACAUGAAGCAGGAGCAGGGAGACUGAGCCAUGGCAGGGUAACAUGGUGAUUGCAGCAGAGCCAGGGUGAGGAGCAGAGGCAUGCCAGCAUGCCAGGGCCACGUGCCGGGGAUGCCUAUCCCAGACUGCUUAUGGCCAAUGGCUGUCAGUAUGAUGGAUGCCAUAGCGUGCGUUGGCAGACAACAUGUUCUCUAUGGCCUGCCUCCCUCUGCCAUGCAGGAAACAGGGAUCCUAGGGGCAAGGCACUGGGAAGCCCCGAACAUCCCUGUUUGCAGCACCUGCUUUGUUCAUCCAUGCCAUGGGCCCUCCCCAGAGGAAGAGGUGGGACCACUCCUGCCUCUUCCUGAGCAGGAUGAUCUCAGCAUGAGUCACUUGCAGCACGGUAUGGACCCUGUUACUGGCACUGGAAACAGUGCCCAACUAGCAGCUGCAUGGUUCAGCACAUCUCUGACGCAGCUAGGGCAGGGCACCUUCCUAACUGAAGCAUUCAAGGGCAAGGCUUGAGUGUGCUAUAAUUUUGCAUGUAGUUCUUGCUGGAGAACAGGAUGCAGUGAGCAGAAGAGGGUGGGGUUGGUGAAAAUCUGUUUCUCUCAUUCUUGGUGGCCGCUGCGUGUCUGCACAGUGUGCUCUUCUGGGGCUAUAAGGAAAGCUGCAGGAGCUGUGAGCUCUUUCCUAGCGGUGUUAGCUGUAACUCAAAGAGAAAUCUUGGUUCACUGGUGUCUCAGUAGGGUCUGAGUGGCUGAGGAUUAUUGCUGAAAUCUCCAGUCGAGUGCCAGCCAUUUUACUGUGAGAAGCUGCCUUGCUUUUGCUUGAGUCGUCUUCUCAAUAUCUCAUGAGAUUCUCAAAUAUCUCCUACACCAACACCUUCUUUUCCUCACAGAGGUCUACUCUUCCUUUGAGUCCCUGGAAAACACUACCCCAAAGCCAUUUGCUUGGGCUGAGUGACAUGCUGAGCAGUUAAUGAACCAGCACAGCUGUGUUAAAGCAUCUCAGCAAUGAAUACAGGCUAAAAUAGAAGCCACAAGCGGGGAACAUGCAAACCCUUCCUGUGCCAGAGAUGAAAUCCAGAGAAUGCUGGGCUGGAUUGCUGGCUUUUCACGCCUCUCGCUAAUUAAAUCCUAGUCUGUAGUCCACUUGUCCACUCCAUCUGAGCUGGUGGCUUCUUAACAGCUUUGUAGGUGCAUUUCCACUGGGGCAUCUUCCAGAAACAACAGAAACUCACACACACCACCUUUAAGCCAGAGACAUGUAAUUAGGUUGUUUUUCGGAAGGUUGGUUUGCUACAGGCAAAUAGCCCAUCACUAAGUUUGAACGGCCAGCUUGUCCAGUUUUUAACCUCACAAAGAUUUUGUUACAGUUAAUCCUUUACUGAUGGUCCCUGCAUCCUGUUCCAAGUAACUUAAAUGAUACAGCUUAAGUCUAUUUAAAAGGAUGGGUGGAGUACUUGUCCCAUUCAUUCCAGUGAAGAAACAAACCCCGGCUAGCCAAAAGGCUUCAAGUAAGAUUGGGUGAUACUCAGAACACGAAGAUUUUUGGUUUGUAUAACAAUCCAAGUGUGGUGAGUGGAAGAAAGUUGUCUAGUUUUUAAUCAACUCAACAUUUGUGCAGAGCUGCAUGUAGAAGUGGAAUCAGUAUUUACUAUGUAGCCAAUUCUCAUAAUUUUAUCAUGAAUUUUGCAAUGUUAUGCUUUUGGAAAAAAAGAAUAACCCACUAUUAUGUAAGAAAUCUAAUUUUCAUUUAAAAGAAAGAAAGAAAAAAAAGUGUUUCUAGCCCUUGCACUUAUGUAGAGUGUGACCUAAGUACACCCCAAAGUAAAAAUGAACAACAAAAACCCUCCCCCAAACGUUAUGGUUUCUGAGUCAAGCCCUGUACACUCAUGUUCCAUUUUUCAUUUGAUUUUUUUUGUUGUUGGCAUUUCUGCAGUUAUAAGUCAAUGGGUGCCCUGAAGGAAAGAUUUGGUCUUCUUUGCCUGAGCUUGCCCUGCAAAAGGCUAUCGGUACAGCUCACCUGUUCAUGAAGUACCAGAUAGACCCAUCGGAAUCAGAGCAAUCUCUAGUUCCUGAGCUCUGCUUCAGUUUUGCUGGUGAAGCUCAAGUCUGAGGCUGUGCUCUGACCAAUCUCUCCUUCCUUUACUGUAAAGACACGGUGAAAUGGUAAUCCCUUUCUGAAGGAGGAAACAGGAUGUUCCUCUCCCUUGGCCUGGCAGCACUGGCCAGCUGUGCACAGCUGCACACCAGCCCAGAAGCAGAAAGUUCAAGUUCACCCUUCCUAAGCAAGGAUCUAUGCCUUGGGCUCAAGCCAAGCUGGCAACCACCAACAGAGAGAAGCAGCACAAAGCAUAGCAGACCCUGCAUAUAGGACCCACGUUUGCACCAUUGCCAUUGCUCCACCACUGAGCUAGAGAGGCUUUCAUGCACACAAAACUUAAGGACUGUAUUUUGGGCAUGUCUUUGGAAAGGCUUCUAAUCGUUGAAAAGUUCUUCACUUAAAUUCAUCAUCAUCAUCAUCACCGAAUGAGUGACAGGGAUUUAAACCUUAAUAUUGUGUGGUGAUGUGCUGACUGGGAUCUGCAACCUGCUCCCUGUGUCCACAUGGGGUAUGAGGAAUGCCAAGCAGUGCCCACUGUGGUUGCAUACGUCUGUCUGGGCAGAAGAGGGGUGUGUAAAGAAGAUGGUCUGAACUUCAGGAUUGCCCACCUGCUCCUGGGGGUUUGUCUGGAGGACUCAGAUCCUUCCUCCCACUCACCUGUGCAGUAACUGGGUUCUCUUGGUGAAGAUCCACUCCCUUUUUCACAACAGGAUGUAUGAACAGUUUGCAAAAUUUGGAGAAGAAAAAUGGCUGCAGCUCCCUUCAUUGAACUAACUAGUGGGAGGAAGGAAAGAAAAGCCCUGCAGUUAAUUGAAUUAACGAAUUGAAAAGGAAAAUCUCCAGGACACCCCUUGUGACUGGGGUUAGAAAGGCUGUGAUUUUUCCACCCAGCACUGGACAGGCUCCAGGCAAGCUCCAGGAUGAAUUCUUAAUCUGGGAUAGGAACUUUGUUGUCCUGGCUUUAAAUGGUUUAUCAGGAACACAUUCCACAACAAACUACAUCCAGAAAUUCUGGUCUUUUUUAAAGUCAUAAGCAGAACUCGGUGAAUUUUGCUUGGCAGGACCCAGAGAUGGAAAAGAAAGGGCAGAUCAGCAGAAGCAGGCUCAAUUCUCAAAGCACUGUGUUUUUCCACAGAAGAGAGGAGAGAGCAGAACUGUUGGUAGUCAUUUUUCCCUACUUCUCCAACAGAGCCAGCGGUACUGAGGAGCUGCAGCCCUGAUUAUUACUUGCAAGCAUUUAUUAAUGUGUGUAUUCAUAUAAUGAAGUAGAAUCUCUAUACCAGGUUGUAGCCCUUCCCAUUAAGCUUCUUGACUGUGCCUAUUUCUCUUGCAUUGACUCCUUCACGUAGUCCAUCAAUUCUUACAUCUGUGCUAGAGAGCAAAGUUACUCAAAGUUCGGCUACUGCUCGAUUUACCGUGCUUUAUCUGUUCUGCAGUACCCAGCUGUAUUCGUGCUCUCAGCCAGCAGCCCUUCAAGGGCAGCCUGUGCCAUGUUCAGCAGAGGGCUCAGCUGCCUGCCCUGGUCCCGGGACAACAGCCUUCCAAUGGGAACUUACCUUAAUGUAAGUAGCGUGCUCUGAAAUUACACCCUUGCUUACCUUGCGGUAACUUGCUCGUGUAGUCAUGGCCUUAAGGUUUUUCUUUCGUAUCCAUGGCCACAACAUCUAAGCAUUUUAUGGUACAGCAUACACUAAACAUUAAUUUCAAAUUAUUGAGACUAUUUUCAUGACUCAACAACUUUCUAAUGACUGUGUACCUUAUUAAACUCUCGCAGCCCUUUAAUAAGAAAGUUUUCCCUCAUCCCUUGGCAUUUAAACACUGUAUAACUGAAAUGAAAUGCAUAGCUGAAGUAUUUUUUUUUUAGGACACUCGAUUUACAGUGAGCCCAAAGCAGCAAAGGACUCUUUGAAAAUCUCUAGAGUGGACACUCCCAGAGCUGUCUGUAUACACUUCGAAUUAAUUAUUCCCUUCAUGGAAAUUGUACAAGAUGUCCCCUUGCUUCUUUCUGACUGCCUUCCUGCCCUUUUCUGAUAAUCCCUCUCUAUCCUCUGGGCUCUCUCUGGUCCUAAACUUAACAUAUAAAGCUAUUUUUAUCUAGGGGUUAGGGUGUGAAUAAAUUCAGAGAAUGUCUCUCAACAUGACUUUAUGUCUGUAAGCCCUCCUUUAACUUGAUUAGAAAUGCUCAGACUUUCUUGCGAGCUGCCUUUGAGCAUCCUCUGGUGAAGUAGCUGCCAUUGGAAGAAUUUCUUCUCCCAUCGGUUGCAGGAGGCAGGGAUCAGCCAGGAGCAAUAGAGAGGCUUAGAGGUAGACCCAAGACUCAGG
rnacentral:lncRNA from 1 species